rnacentral:rRNA from 1 species
ACAAUUACACCUUGAUGGAAACACCCGUUCUCGUCUAAUCAUUCAAGUUAAGCAAGGUUGGGUCCGGUUAGUGCUUGCACGGAUGACCCGCUGAGGAUGACAGUUGUUUCGGCC